AACGUAGGAGGCAAGCGUUAUCCGGAUUUAUUGGGCGUAAAGCGCAUGCAGGUGGUCGUGCAAGUCGGAUGUGAAAGCCCCUGGCUUAACUGGGGGAGGUCGUUCGAAACUGUGCGACUGGAGGUCGGGAGAGGGAAACGGAAUUCCCGGUGUAGUGGUGGAAUGCGUAGAUAUCGGGAGGAACACCAGUGGCGAAAGCGGUUUCCUGGCCCGCACCUGACACUCAGAUGCGAAAGCGUGGGGAGCGAACGGG
rnacentral:rRNA from 1 species